rnacentral:rRNA from 1 species
AACGAACGCUGGCGGCAUGCCUAACACAUGCAAGUCGAACGAGACCUUCGGGUCUAGUGGCGCACGGGUGCGUAACGCGUGGGAACCUGCCCUUAGGUUCGGAAUAACUCCCCGAAAGGGGUGCUAAUACCGGAUAAUGUCUUCGGACCAAAGAUUUAUCGCCUUUGGAUGGGCCCGCGUUGGAUUAGCUAGUUGGUAGGGUAAAAGCCUACCAAGGCGACGAUCCAUAGCUGGUCUGAGAGGAUGAUCCGCCACACUGGGACUGAGACACGGCCCAGACUCCUACGGGAGGCAGCAGUGGGGAAUAUUGGACAAUGGGCGAAAGCCUGAUCCAGCAAUGCCGCGUGAGUGAUGAAGGCCUUAGGGUUGUAAAGCUCUUUUACCCGGGAUGAUAAUGACAGUACCGGGAGAAUAAGCUCCGGCUAACUCCGU